GAUGAACGCUGGCGGCACGCUUAACACAUGCAAGUCGAACGAGAUCUGUUAUGAAGAUUUAUUGGAUUAACAGUGAAAGUGGCGGACGGGUGCGUAACGCGUGGGAAUCUGCCCUUGGGUUCGGAAUAACAUCGGGAAACUGAUGCUAAUACCGGAUGAUGACGUAAGUCCAAAGAUUUAUCGCCCAGGGAUGAGCCCGCGUAGGAUUAGCUAGUUGGUGAGGUAAAGGCUCACCAAGGCGACGAUCCUUAGCUGGUCUGAGAGGAUGAUCAGCCACACUGGGACUGAGACACGGCCCAGACUCCUACGGGAGGCAGCAGUAGGGAAUAUUGGACAAUGGGGGCAACCCUGAUCCAGCAAUGCCGCGUGAGUGAUGAAGGCCUUAGGGUUGUAAAGCUCUUUUACCCGGGAUGAUAAUGACAGUACCGGGAGAAUAAGCCCCGGCUAACUCCGUGCCAGCAGCCGCGGUAAUGUGUGUAG
rnacentral:rRNA from 1 species